GGCAACAAUGGCGGUGUCAGUGGC
rnacentral:siRNA from 1 species